rnacentral:rRNA from 1 species
AUUGAACGCUGGCGGCAGGCCUAACACAUGCAAGUCGAGCGGAUGAAGGGAGCUUGCUCCUGGAUUCCGCGUCGGACGGGUGAGUAAUGCCUAGGAAUCUGCCUCGUAUUGGUGUAUAACGUCCUGAAACGGGCGCUACUACUGCCUACUUCCUGCUGCAGCUAGUUGGUGAUCUUCGGACCUCACGCUCUCAUGUGGACCUAGGUCGGUGUAGAUAGUUGGUGGGUUAAGUGCCUACCAAGGCGACGAUCGGUAACUGGACUGAGUGGAUGAUAAGUCACACGGGAACGGAGACACGGACCAGACGACUAAGGGAGGGAGCAGUGGGGAAUAUUAGACAAUAGGCGAAAGCAUGAUACAGCCAUGCCGCGUGUGUGAAGAAAGUCUUCGGAUUGGAAAGAACGUUAAGUUGGGAGGAAGGGCAGUAAGUUAAUACCUUGCUGGUUUGACGUUACCAACAGAAUAAGCACCGGCUAACUUCGUG